rnacentral:lncRNA from 1 species
CGACUGGACUUGAACUUAUACUAUGAAGAACAGGCGCUAUCCUAAUGGGUGCAGGAUCUACUUCAACCAACUUAGGGCGGAGCAAACAAUCAAUCAAGCCAUGAAGCAAGUGUAGUUGUAGUGAGCUGAGUCUGGAAACAAAGCUCUAAAACCUGAUGUUCAUCUACUCGUUGACUCUGAUACAAAGGAUUCUUUUUCUUUUAU